UGCUGACCUCAGGUGAUCCACCCGCCUCAGCCUCCCAAAGUGCUGGGAUUACAGGAAUGAGCCACCGAGCCCAGCCAGGGCUAGAUAUUUUCCAGAUGGCAGUUCCAUCUUCACUUCUCUGCCAGCCAUGUGUUCUGUAAGGAGCAGACAAGAUGGCCCCGAUCAACUGGAAAACCCAUUUGCAUAAUAGGAGCAGCCUUCUCCACGCACUGUGUAAACCUCACACCUGAUCGAACCAAUCUGUGAUCCCUACGUAACUCAGACGCUGCCUCCUCAAAUGACUGUACAACACCGUACAUUCACCAGCAGUGGGUCCUUUCUGCUUGGAGACCCCUUCCUCCACAGAGGAAACUCUUGCUCUUUCUCUCUUCUACCUAUUAAACCUCCGCUCCUAUACUCCUCCUGUGUGUCCCUGUCCUAAAUUUUCCUGGCAGGUGACAACAAAUCCCAGGGGAUCUACCCCAGACGAUGUAGCUGCUUCAUUAGGAUACUGAGGCCCAGAGAGGAAAUGAGAGUCUCAGGACUCAUUCCACACCAGCCGGUCCAUGGGCCAUUCCCUCUGACCCACCCAACACAAGCUCUUCCCCAGCUGUUUGAAGAAGGGAAGGAAGUGAGAAAUAAACUUUAAGCAGAUAUCAAUGUCAAUUGAGAUAAACAUCAAGCUUUAUUGACUUAAGAGGUAAAUAUUGACAGAACUGAAAUGCCAAAUCAAUAUUUACCUCCAGGGAUGCUAUAGCCUGAAUUUGAAGUUGGGUUAUGUGCACGUCAACGCAUCUCCAAGUCCCAACGUCUUCAUCAGCAGUAUGUGAUCAUUUCAGCAACGGGCUAAAAUUGAAAGGUGUGGUGAGAGAUUUCCAGAGGGUCCUCUCAUGGAGGGCUGGGGAGAAGUUCAUGAUCACCAUGAGGGGUCAUCAGCACAGACCCGGAGGGUCAGCGUCUGAAAACUGCAUCACUGGCACAGAAUGACCGUGACCAAAUUUGCUUCACUUUUUGCUGAGCACUCACCUGACAGAGCAUAAGAUUCCAGCCAGAAAGGCACUGAGCACCUGUUUGCCAGGCCUUGUCAGCAUCUAGCUGUGCAGAGCCUGCACCAGCCCUGAGAUCAGGAAGCAGAGAACCCAUGCCUCUGGCCCGCUUGGCCUCUCAGCCACGGGAAAGACAGCCUUCACUGGGACAAUGGCAGUGUUGUUCGUCGUUGGCUUACAAAGAGGAGUUUUAGAAGAUGCCAAGGCCAAGAAAAGACUAUGAGAGAAAAGAAACCAAAAGUUAAAAUCAGGCAAUUCUAUCCACUAACUUCCCCUGCUGUGAAUUGGGAAAAGUUGGCCCUGGGCCGUCUUCAAGGGGUGGGCCCGUACCCAGCCUCCAGCAACCUGGAGCCUGUCUGUGAAUCUGCUUUGUUCCAUCAACUAUCCCUGAUGGAUAAAGACACUCAGGCUAAGGAAGCUGUCCUGCUCCCUCAGAUUCCCAGACAGCCUUGUUUUCUGCUUCUAUGCCUGUCUGGGCUGAGAGAAUUUGCAUUUUUCUAUAACUGACCACUUGUGCCAGCCAAGAUGGAAUAAGUGCACUGCUGUCUACUGUCCCACUGGAAAUGCUGAAAACUUGGGGGGGGGAACAUAAGGAACAACUCCCUGAGCCCUCUAAAAAGUAGUCCUAGUCAUGCAGAGUUGCAUGGCAGUGCAGGAAGCUAAAUCUUGGAGAUAACACUAUCUUUCUGUCCAGAAGAACCAGGAAAGGAGGCCCCUGAAUGCCAAAAAUUGUGAGAGAUAUCCUGGAAAUUGUCAGUGAACUUGAAGGUUAAUCAAUAGGAAUUACACAGCCUGCAGAUUGAGAGAAAAAUUAAAUUAAAAAAAAAACAAAAACAGAGCCUCAGGCACCUGUGAAACAAUAUCAAAAAGUCUAAUACUCUUAUUUUUGGAGUCUCGGAAGAAGAAGAGGAGGAUACUGGUGCAGAAAAAUAUUGAAGAAAUAAUGGUUGUAAACUUCCCAGACUUGAUGAAAAUCAUAUAUGUAUAAGUUCAAGAAGGUUAACAAACUCUAAACAAGAUAAACUUUAAAAAAUGCAUUGUAAAUGAAAAUCAAAGGUAAAGGAAAGACAAUUAAAAGCAACCAGAUUAAAACAGUAUACUAUGUAUCAGAGAACGGUACUUUGGAUAAUUGCAAAUUUCUCAUCAUAAAUUAUGGAAGCAGGAAGAUGGUGGAACAACAUCUGUAAAUUACUGAAAGAAAAUGAUUGUCAACCCAGAAUUCUAUAUCUAGCAAAAAUAUCUUAGAAAUGACAGUGAAAUAAAGACAUACUCAGAUUAAGGGAAAGUAAGAGAAUGUGUCACUAACAGACCUACAAAAGAAAUGCUUAGCCAAGUUCUUCAGGAAGAAGGAAAAAUGAUCUGGAGGAACACUUGGAACUUCAUGAAUGACAUUAGAGCAACAGAAAUGGUAAAUAUCAGUCCCCCUAUGAUGAAGAAGAACUGGUCUGUGUGACCAACAGAAUAUGACAGAAUUGACGGUGUGUUGCUCCUGAGGUGAGGAUAUUAAAAGCACUGCAGCUUCUCCAUGGAACUCUUGGUUUCUUCAUUCUGGGGAGAGCAAGAUGCCAUGUCAAUGAGGACACUCCAAAAAACCGUGGAGAGGCUCAUGUGGAGAGAAAGCAACCUGCCAACCAGGAUUUAAGGCAGGGAUUUCCCUUGGAACCACAGCAGAGCCUCAGGUGUGGACCUUGCUGACGUCUUCCUACAUGAGCAGAGUCUGCGGCUUGGAAAGCGUGGCCCCUCCUGCAGGUCCCAGGGCUGGCGACAUCCUCCAGGAGUUGAUGGCAGGCAGUACACACAGGUGCCAGGCUGAGCACCAGGGAGUGAUGCUCCAAACGCCCGCACAACCUCUCCUGGGACUCUGGCCACAAAGAGAAAAACGUGGAAUUUGGAACAAAAACCCAGUUUCCAAACCCAGCUCUGCUGUUGCUUUAUUCUCUUGGGAAGUCAGCAGGCUUCCCUGAGCCCCAUCUAUAAAGUGGGCCUAAUAAUAUCUGCCACUUCCUGUCUUAGAUGUUACGCUUGAUCCAACAAGCAAAUGUACAUGAAAGUGCUUUGUCAAUCCCUAUAGCAGACCCAAUGUGAUUGUUAUCUCAAUGUAGCUAAGUCUACAGUUCUCCUUUGGUCUUUCCACUAAAUUGGCAGCUUUAUGGGGUGACUAAGUCUCUGUCAUGAGAGCUUUGUUGAGGGAGGCCUUGUGUGUUCUGCACCCAAAUGCAGACCUUCACAUUUGUCCCUGUAAAUUAAUACCGUGGUCAUAGCCUACUUUAAGUGUCUCUCCAAGCUUUGUUCAGUUUGAAAAUGUCAUUAAUUUUGCCACCAAAUUUUUGCCUGGGUUAUUCCUAAAAUGUUGGCCCCUUCUGGGUCCAGGACAGAGUUCUCCUUGAGCCUCAGGUUAGCCAUGGCUAACCUGAGAUGAUUAUUCUGCUUGGGCCACAACCGUGUAACCAAUUUCAAGUCAGUGCCGUUGCUUCUGGGGUCUUCCUCGCUGCCCCGCCCGCCUGUCUUGGUUCCUUUUUCUGCUUUACUCCUGUGGUUGUGACACUCACCAAGUGUGUGACGUGGAGGCUGAUUGAGGUUUCUAUUUUGCAUCAUCUUCAACUGCAAAAUGGGGACUGAUCCUGGCAUCUGUUUCACAUCAGCCAGUGGAUUACCAUGUUCAUGACAGGUAAAGCCCCUAUGCCAGGCUUCCUCAGCCUCUGCCCCAUUGACACUUUGGGCCCGGUGAUUCUCUGUGGCAGGGGCUGUCCUGCACCUUGCAGGAAGUUUAGUAGCAUCCCUGGUCUCCAUUCAUUCACUGAUGCCAGCAGCACCCUCUACACCCCUCCCCAGCUGAGAAAAUCCAAACUGUCCCCAGACAUGGCCAAGCUUGUCCAGGGGGACGAGACCUCCCUGGAUGAGAAGCACUGACCUGGACAGCAAAGCACAGGUUUGUGCUGUGUGUGUGUUCGCUGCCGCCUGCGUGUCCCAGCUCUGUCCUGACGGCAUGGAACACGGAGGUGUAUCCUCCUCCCGGAGUUCUCAGGAUGAUUAGGACGCCCCACGUUCCCAGGCUUUCUGCGAGGCUGUCAUGACUGCACAAACAUCCUGCAAAGUUGCAGGUUUCAGCCCCCGCAGCACCCCGAUCCAUUGCCCCUCGGACCCUGCUCAGGGGCAAUCCCACCCCUAAUGAGGGCAGAGGAGGUGGAGGAGGCACUGGAUAUAAAGCUGCUGUGUAACACACAAAGCACUGUUCAGAAAUCAGUGUUACUAUCUCACCCUGGAUGGCACAGAGUGGAUUUAGGAGUAAAGACAAAUUGCUUGGCUCUUACGACUCUGACCUCUGGAUCAUAUUUGCUUCCCUGUGAACAAUGCAGAUUGUCCUCCUGCAAGCUGUUUACAGCUGAGAAUAAGCAGAGGGCAAAGCAGCCUCCUUCAACCACGGCUGCUGCAUCCUUAACCAAUGUUAGCACCUUCCUCACAGAGCGCUGAGAAAGAAAUUAGGCACUGGUUAAAUUGUAAAGCACUGAACAAAGUAUAGGCUGGUAUACUGAUAAUGAGGCACAACUCUGUAGCUCUGGGGUUAGUUCUCAAAAAGCACCUUCAAACUUUCUGAUUAAUAAUAGCACUGCCCCACUAAGAACUUAGCCUCCUUACCAGAUGCACACUGGAGAAAGUGUGUUCAAAGGAUUCACUAUCGUUUGUUGGCUAUGCCAUGCAUUAUAGAUCAUGCCCCAACUGGUUUUAAUACGACCUUAUUUGCCUCUCCAAAUUCUUUAUAAAUAAAGGAUGAUGCAGUUAAAAGAAGGAGUAACAAUGAACCGUGCAUCAGAUGUGGGGUGAACAAGCAGGCCCAGGCCCCACUAUGGGGUGAUUCAACUCAAGAGAGUGGGAGGAGGAUGGAAGGAAACAGGGAAUGUGGCUUCUGCACCAUCCCCUCCACAGCUCAGUGUCUGCCCCCAUGCCAUUCUAGUUUUGCAAUUUCACUUGCAUGAGUCUGUCUCUUUGUGUGAUUUUGAAGCUGUUCUGUGGAUACUAUCAUUGCAAUAUCUUCUUUCAUUUCCCUCUCCGGAAAUUAAUAAGAUUUGCUUCUUAAAAAUAAACCUGAAAGAGUGA